UUAAAUUGAAGAGUUUGAUCAUGGCUCAGAUUGAACGCUGGCGGCAGGCCUAACACAUGCAAGUCGAACGGUAACAGGAAGCAGCUUGCUGCUUUGCUGACGAGUGGCGGACGGGUGAGUAAUGUCUGGGAAACUGCCUGAUGGAGGGGGAUAACUACUGGAAACGGUAGCUAAUACCGCAUAACGUCGCAAGACCAAAGAGGGGGACCUUCGGGCCUCUUGCCAUCGGAUGUGCCCAGAUGGGAUUAGCUAGUAGGUGGGGUAACGGCUCACCUAGGCGACGAUCCCUAGCUGGUCUGAGAGGAUGACCAGCCACACUGGAACUGAGACACGGUCCAGACUCCUACGGGAGGCAGCAGUGGGGAAUAUUGCACAAUGGGCGCAAGCCUGAUGCAGCCAUGCCGCGUGUAUGAAGAAGGCCUUCGGGUUGUAAAGUACUUUCAGCGGGGAGGAAGGGAGUAAAGUUAAUACCUUUGCUCAUUGACGUUACCCGCAGAAGAAGCACCGGCUAACUCCGUGCCAGCAGCCGCGGUAAUACGGAGGGUGCAAGCGUUAAUCGGAAUUACUGGGCGUAAAGCGCACGCAGGCGGUUUGUUAAGUCAGAUGUGAAAUCCCCGGGCUCAACCUGGGAACUGCAUCUGAUACUGGCAAGCUUGAGUCUCGUAGAGGGGGGUAGAAUUCCAGGUGUAGCGGUGAAAUGCGUAGAGAUCUGGAGGAAUACCGGUGGCGAAGGCGGCCCCCUGGACGAAGACUGACGCUCAGGUGCGAAAGCGUGGGGAGCAAACAGGAUUAGAUACCCUGGUAGUCCACGCCGUAAACGAUGUCGACUUGGAGGUUGUGCCCUUGAGGCGUGGCUUCCGGAGCUAACGCGUUAAGUCGACCGCCUGGGGAGUACGGCCGCAAGGUUAAAACUCAAAUGAAUUGACGGGGGCCCGCACAAGCGGUGGAGCAUGUGGUUUAAUUCGAUGCAACGCGAAGAACCUUACCUGGUCUUGACAUCCACGGAAGUUUUCAGAGAUGAGAAUGUGCCUUCGGGAACCGUGAGACAGGUGCUGCAUGGCUGUCGUCAGCUCGUGUUGUGAAAUGUUGGGUUAAGUCCCGCAACGAGCGCAACCCUUAUCCUUUGUUGCCAGCGGUCCGGCCGGGAACUCAAAGGAGACUGCCAGUGAUAAACUGGAGGAAGGUGGGGAUGACGUCAAGUCAUCAUGGCCCUUACGACCAGGGCUACACACGUGCUACAAUGGCGCAUACAAAGAGAAGCGACCUCGCGAGAGCAAGCGGACCUCAUAAAGUGCGUCGUAGUCCGGAUUGGAGUCUGCAACUCGACUCCAUGAAGUCGGAAUCGCUAGUAAUCGUGGAUCAGAAUGCCACGGUGAAUACGUUCCCGGGCCUUGUACACACCGCCCGUCACACCAUGGGAGUGGGUUGCAAAAGAAGUAGGUAGCUUAACCUUCGGGAGGGCGCUUACCACUUUGUGAUUCAUGACUGGGGUGAAGUCGUAACAAGGUAACCGUAGGGGAACCUGCGGUUGGAUCACCUCCUUACCUUAAAGA
rnacentral:rRNA from 1 species